rnacentral:rRNA from 1 species
AUUGAACGCUGGCGGUAUGCUUAACACAUGCAAGUCGAACGGCAGCAUGGUCUAGCUUGCUAGACUGAUGGCGAGUGGCGGACGGGUGAGUAACGCGUAGGAAUAUGCCUUGAAGAGUAGGACAACUUGGGGAAACUCAAGCUAAUACCGCAUGUACUCGAGAGAGUAAAGCUGGGGACCUUUAGGCCUGGCGCUUUAAGAUUAGCCCGCGUCCGAUUAGCUAGUUGGUAGGGUAAAGGCCUACCAAGGCGACGAUCGGUAGCUGGUCUGAGAGGAUGAUCAGCCACACUGGAACUGUGGGACGGUCCGGACGCCUACGGGAGGCAGCAGUGGGGAAUAUUGGACAAUGGGGGGAACCCUGAUCCAGCAAUGCCGCGUGUGUGAAGAAGGCCUGAGGGUUGUAAAGCACUUUCAGUGGGGAGGAGGUUUGGAAGGUUAAGAGCUAUUCAAAUGGACGUUACCCACAGAAGAAGCACCGGCUAACUCCGCGCCAGCCGCCGCCGUAA